AAUAAGAAUUAGUAAUAUCACUAUUUAUAUUAAAUUAAUUAAUUUAUUAUAAUAAUUGAUGCUGAUUUGCAUUUAUAUACCCAUUCCACCCUGAAAAAACUGUAAGAAAUUUAUUGCGAAAAUUUCAUAUUCACUUUCAUAUUCACUUUCUUCUGGAUAUGUUCCGACUUAUAAUACUUUCAAGUUAUUCUCAACGGUAUCAAUAUAGAUAAUAUUCAUUAGCGGAAUGCGAAAAUGCGGCGGCCCGCGAUCUUCAUCAUGGGAUUCAUGAAUGAAAUUGCACUCAUCCAGAUAGACGCUGUUCAUCAUAAAUCUGCCAACAGUAUCACUCCUUGGAGUAUAAUUCAUCAAAGGAUAAAAUAGUCAAAGUCAUUACGAUAAAAAAUGUAUAGAUUAAAAUAACAAAUUAAAAAAUUAUUGCUGAUGAAACGAUGAAUGAGACGUAAAAAAGAGAAUGAUAUUAGCAGCUAAAUUUCGAGUGAUUCGUAACACCGACAAUAUACAUAGAAAGAUCAAAAAAUAAAAAUAAGAAGAGUUAUAAUUUAUCAAUAAUUGAAAUGUAAGUAUGAUCAAGAAAGUCCGUAUCUAUUUGUAAAUUUAAGCUUUAUUUUUGAGAUUUAUUAUAUAACCAUUUCAGUUACCAAUUGUUUAUAUAUAUAUUUUUUUAAAUCCAAAACUUAAACGUUGUUCCCAUCAAAUUCAUGUUUAUGAUACUAGUUUCUAUAAUAAUAGUCUAUAAUUGCUAAAUGUGUAGCAGUAUUUCUGCAAAUGUGUUUUCUACAUAUGUUCAUGAGAAUCAUAAGUAAAUAAAAAACUAAUUGCAGAAAGUGGACAAUAAACAUUAUUUUUUUUACUUUUUUAAUUUUAUUCGAUAAUAAUUUACAUUUAUUUUUUUAGUUUAAUUUGGUAAAAAGUUACUUUUACUUUUUAAAUAUCUUAUGUCACAUAAGGAUUUUUAGAGAGAAUAACUAAGGAAAUAUGACAGUAGAAGGAAUAUGCCACUCAUUUUGAUAAAUAAAACUAUUAGGAACGCUAUGUGUCAAUGCCAUGGAAUUAUUUACAAUUGUAUUUUACACUGGAUGUUUUGCAAAAAUGUUGUUAAUUUUUUUGCAAUAAUAUUAUUUUUAUGAGGUAAGUAUGACAUAAUAUAUGAAAUUGCAUGCUUUUUAUAAGUUUCAUAGUACUUUCGUAGUGCUUUGUGUAAGUUAUUAUUCAAAUAUUACACAAUAUUUAACUUGAUUAACUUGUUAUUUUAUUAGUGUAAUUUAAAAUAAAAAUUAGUAUCAUAUCGCUUGUUUAUUAUCCUAACAACCGUAUUAUACAGGAUUAUCAAAAAAUAAAAUCUUAGGAAAAUGUGCUACUACUUUUGUUGAGGUAAAAUACCAGUACUGUUUUUCUUCACAAGUUAAGAAUCUGUAAAUUAAUAUUUUCUCGCACAACCCCGUUGUGACAAGGUCAUCCGUAUUGAUGAAUGAAUAAACAUUUAUUUAUUUACUUAUUAUUUUACUUAUUUAUUAUAGGUCUUGUAGAUUCUUUUAAGAUUCUGUAAAACUGCAUUUCGGAUAAUUUAGAGCACUUGUUACAUACAACAAUAUUUAAAUAUAAAUGAAUAGUGAAAAUAUAUUUUUACAUGUUUCAUACUUACACAUUCCAUACUUUUACACGUUUCAGACAAGAACGUCUCGAAUUUAUACAAGUAAAAAACUGAUUGAGCUCCUUGGAAACUUUAGACUUUAUUUUAAAAUUUCAAAUUUCGAUUUUUUAACUUAAAAAACAUUUAAACUGUUUUUCUAAUAAAUAAAAUAAUGUUUUAAAUUGUAAUUAUCGCUUUUUUGUAUAUAACAUGUUACUUGGUAGCAUAUUACUAAAAUGAUUGGGUAAUAUGCCACUUUCCGAUAUAUUCAUUUCUUUAUUUUUAAUCGUAAAAAAUGAAAAUACUUUAUUAUGAUCAUACACAAGUAAUAGAUAAUAGAUGUAAGAAAAAGAUUAAUAUGUAAAAAUACCUUAAAUUGAACAAAUAAUUAAACAAAAGUUUAAUUUCUCUUAGGCAUUUUCCGUUAUGUUUGAUAUCAUUUUCAUAAAAACCUAACUAUAUUUUUUAGUUUAGUCUAUAUUUUUUUUAAAUUUAUAAAAAGAUCUGAUUAUAUAAAGAAGAAAGCAAACAUUAUUUUCAUUUUUGUAAAUUUGCUGUUUUCUACUUCAUUAAUUUUACUAAUAAAAUUUACUGACUCUUAUUUCUAAAAAAUUUUUUGUAUCAGAAUUUUCACACACAUCAUAUCAGUAUUUUCAUCAUAUCAUUAUCAUAAAAAUCCAAUUUUUAGAUUAAUUUAUAUAGCAUGGGCAACCGAAUGAUGACUCCGGAUACAGACACUUUCUUCUUUCCACGCGACAUGGCGGAGUGGCCCCCGGGUGCGAGUCCGAUCCAAUUAGAUUUUUAAUAAAAGUUUACCCGUCCCGUCGUGAGUCACGUACUGUCGUCCGUCCCUACGGGCUGAGAAAAAGAUUAACUGGUUCCCGGAGUAACCAACCUUUUGACACCGACCAUCGACCGAAUGUCUUUCCCAUCGGAUUAGUCGGGUUAAAAGGCUCUUCUCGCGGUCACCGACUGCAUUGGUACAAUGCGAAGCCGUCCCACUGCACUAGUCUGUAUUACCGUACAAUAAUUUGGUCGCAGACAAUAUUCUGUCGAUGUAUCUAUGAUAUAUGAGUGGUCUCAAGGGGGAGAACUUAUCUUAACUUCAAAGCCUGUUUCGUGUCGCGAUCGAAGCAAUUUUUCCUUGACUCACAAUCAGUGAUUUCGGUGAUAAACGUCAAGUAAUCCGAGGCUCAAAAUAAUCGCAUAAUUCUCUUGGUGAAUGUACCGAUCCGAUGAAAAUUGUUGUAACUCGAUCCAUUUAAUUUCAUAAUUAUGCGCUCUGGUAGUAUCUCGAUUAAUUAGCGUUCAAUCAUAAUUAACGGCGACUGCACGACGAGUCACCAACGAACUGGCAACGAUACAAUUUCGUUCGGUCGCCGAUGAUCGCGUAUUGUUAUACUAUUUAUCAAAAUCGCGAUAACGCCGGACUGGAUCAGAUCCGGUCAAAUGAUCGAGCAAUUAUCGCCGGACUGCCAUUAAUCGAGAGCUUUAUUCGGUGUAAUAAUUCAGUCGCAAAUGCAUCUCAAUUGCAUGGAGCCGGAGAAGUUAAAUAAAGUGCGAGAGUCAAAGGAUUUGUUGGCAAAAAAGUCGGUGCUAAGAUAUAAAUUUUUCCAGUCUUUUCUUCACUCGCCCUUUAAAUAACCGCGAUCUCGGUCGCUCUUCCGGUUACGACGGUCACGAUAAACGCGCCAUUGCAUCCGUAUUCUUUACUUCUUUUUCUUUGCCCUCUCGACCACCCGCGGUUUGGCGGCCGCCGUGUGUAUAGGCGCUGCCAAUGGCGCGACAAUCUUUAUCGGCGAUUUGUUCGCCGGAGACAGCCGGUGUGUGCUCGCAAUGCUCUCCUCCAAAUAAGUAUUUUCAGUUGGAAGAUUGGGCGGGACACUUGGCAACCAUUGCAGAUGCAUAAAGAUCGAUUUUGCUCUAAAUUAUGCCAUGUGCCGAAACACAAGAUCUACGUGUAUGUACGCCAACAGGAUGCACACUGGGUGUCCUUGGAGCUCGUAUAUUUCUAAGUAUCUUUAAAUUUAUAUAGGAAUACGUAUUGAAAUAUAUCUAUACAAAGGUUUAAUAUAAAAGUGGUAAAAAAAGUAAAAUAGAAUUAAAAUAACAAUUUUACAAAAACGAGUUUUCCAGAAUAGGACGUUUUUUAAUAAUUAAUACGCAGAUUUUAUACAGAGAUACGUAUAUUUUUUCUUACAUUUUACCCACCGUCUUUAUGGGAUGACAUAAACUCGAAAAAUUUUGAUAACAUUUAGUAACAUUUUAACCAAAGUUCACCAAAUUUUAUGAAAAUGUUAUAACAUAAAGUUGAAAAUUAUUUGAUUAAGUUUUGCUAACAUUUAAUCAAAUUUUACUAAAAUUACAGUAAAAUUCUUCGAAAUGUUUAUUUUGACUUACAACUGUCACUAUUUUAAAGAUGAAUUCCAAAAGAAAAUUCUUUCUAUUUGUAAAUAUUAAUAUUAUUAAUUUACAGAAUACUAAAAAAAAAUAUUCUCGCAAAAACUAAAUGCACGAAAUUAAUACAGACUAUUUCCUUAUAUAGAUGUAAAAUUCGAAAUACAGUUUUUCUUGUAAUACAGAAUAUAUUAUUUCGAGUUUUGAUUGAUGUUCGACCUUAUUCCGUUAUAUGUCAAACACCCGGUACACUCGCGCACUCAUAAAUACACACACACACACACACACACACACACACAAUAUAUAUAUAUAUAAAACCGAUCUCGUUCCCCGGAGCCUUCUUCUUCGUCGGGUACUAGACGGCGGCGGUCGGGAAAAUCCAAUCGCUUCCCGGCGAUAUACGUCUUUGUAACUCGAUAAGUCGCUCGGGUAAUGCGAAGGAGGGAACAGGCCAGAGAAAAUUUCGUCACGGGGGGAGGGAAAAAAGGGUGGUACGCGGCAGUAGUCGCGGUGUUAUGUGGGACGAGAUCAAAAUCCGAAAAUAUAUAUCUUAUAACGUCGCAGACACGUUCCGUCCGCGCUACCGCGCGUUUAAACGACCGGCGCGGCGUCAUCUUGAGAAAGUCGCGCAGAUUUCACUUCUAAAAAGAGAAUGCAUGAAACUUUAUAGAUUCAGUACCUGACAAGCAUCGUACCAGCAAUCUUUGAAAAGAUUUUAUAAGCGCACUGACAUCUCAAGUACUUAAAAAAUUAAACAAUAACUUAUAUCGGACUGAUGAAAUUAAAAUACACACACA